GAAGGUGGAGAAAGUCCCCGAGCGAGACCUGAGCAGUGGCGGAAGGCUUACAACUUCCACCGAAGCUGAAGCGAGAGGUGAAAGGGGCAGAGCGCACAGGGUGAUCCUAAAGGAUCGAUUUGGGCCGGCUCAGACCAAGCAGCCGGAUUUUGACACUCCAACUACUUGCCUCCGGAUUUAGGUCCAAUAAUCUCGGACACCAAAAAGGUGAAACCAUUGCUCCCUCAAACAAUGGGGGAUGCAGCUGCUCAGAACCCUAGCAAAGCUAAAGUUGGAUUCUUUUGCCGGGCGCCUAGUUGUUCCUCCUCCUGGGGGACACUCCCCUCCCAGCCUCCUCCCUCUGCAGGCCUGGCCUCGGCUUCUUAAAGUCACAGGGUGUCUCAUUGCCCUAGAGAAGCACCGCCCAAAUGGGGAGUAAGUGUCAGGCGGGGCGGGGGCGGGGGCGUGCUGCAGGGUGCAAUCUCGGGACUGUGAAGACAAAACAAGAGCCCAGGUGGUCGAAGGAUGGACUUGGAGGACCCACUAGCGCAUACCUUCCUUGCCCCUCCCGCUGUGUAGUCCCCCAAACUGCAGACUCUGGCUCCCGGGAGUAAGCACUGGGAGGUUACAGGCCUGUUUCCGGAGGUGACCUUUCAGUCUGCGCACACCCCCCACCCGGGCCCCUAAGGCGCAGGCCAUCCCACCCAAGGGUCUGCAAAGUUGCACUGUGGAGAAGCCAAAAGCCGACUUCGACCUUUUGAUUUGAUGUAGCAAAGAGUGUGUGUCCAGAUUAUCUGAAAUUGACACUGAAGAAGCUACACAGGUGGUCAAGCAGGGCCCGGAAGAAAGAAAAAAGCGUUCCAGGAUUCGGUGAAGGGCUGCCGGCAAACCGGUGUGGCUCAGACCUGGUGACUUUUUGGAGAGGCCGCAGAAUGAAGACAGCAGACACA